rnacentral:rRNA from 1 species
GGACUACAGGGGUAUCUAAUCCCGUUUGCUCCCCUGGCUUUCGCGCCUCAGCGUCAGCAGAGGUCCAGCGCGCCGCUUUCGCCACCGGCGUUCCUUCCGAUAUCUACGCAUUUCACCGCUCCACCGGAAGUUCCGCACGCCCCUACCUCCCUCGAGGCCGUCAGUAUCCAAGGCCCUUCCCCAGUUGAGCUGGGGGCUUUCACCCCGGACUGGACGGCCCGCCUACGCGCCCUUUAAGCCCAAUGAAUCCGAACAACGUUCGCACGGUUCGUCUUACCGCGGCUGCUGGCAC